AUUACAUCCGUACAUAGACCUGGCUAAUGGCGUGGCUGGGAAGUAAACCUCAUAGAGCUAAAUACGUGUACAAUUCCUUUUAGAACAGAAGGCUCAGCUGUCAUCAGUGAUGUUCAAGCGCGAGUUACUUUUAGGGGAAAGCCAGAAACAGGUGGAUUAUUUUGGCCUACACCAUAUCAAGUGCUUCCUCGCUGAGCCACAGAGAGAUUCAAUCAGAAAGAACCUUGUUGGAGAUGGGUUCAAGGCCCCGUGGAAGACAUCAGGCGGAACAUUUAAUUUCGUUCAAACGAGCCUCAUAAUUUGAAAGUCCGCCUCAAGCCUAUCAUUCUGGAAAGCGUGCAGCGAAUGACUUCCUGACACGCCCAGGGAGGCAGGAGAGAGAUGAAAACAUGUGUGAAAGCUGUCAUCCAGUUGUCCAAGAUGCCUCAGAGAGCAGUCCGGUUCCCAGCAGCCCCCGAACGGCUUGGGUCCUGCGCGCGUAGAACCGAAAGCUCUCCCCAGUGUUGACAACGCAGAAUUGGGGGGCGGGGGGCAGGUUGCUGCUCAGAACGUGACCGUGAGCCAUCCCCGUCCACCGUCCCCAGACCAGAGCACUGGUCGGCAUGGUGGACGUUGUCAUCGUGAUUACGUGGCGUAGUAGGCUGGCUGGUGAAAUAAAAAAUAAUCAGUUCUCUCUGUUCUAUGUUUUAUAAUGCACUACCAUACAUAUGGCUUCGUGUCAGGUUCUGUGGAAUACAGAACAACGUGGAAUACAGCGGAAGGUGGACCAAAGCCAAAUUACACAAUAAAAAUGCGGAUGACUCGGGCCCCGAAGCGGAACAGGAAGGACUAACAGACUGAUGGCAAGGAACGGCCCUUACUAUCUGCUAGGGUUUUAACAUGGCAUUGUAAGGAUUCACCUGACCGGUUCUGUUUAUUUUCUAUUAUUAUUUUUAAGUGUUUCUUUAUUUAUUUUGAGGGGGAGCGAGAGAUGGCGUGAGGCGCGGGAGGCACAAAGAGAGGGAGCGAGAAUCCCAGGCCGGCCCCGCGCUAUAGGCACGGAGCCCCGCGAGGGGCUCGAGCUCAGGAACCAAACCGUGAGAUCACGACCUGAGUCGGAAUCAAGAGUCGGACGCUUAACUGACCGAGCCACCCGGGCACCCCCUUUUUAUUUGUUAACCUCGCGAAAGAUACUGUUAUUACCACAGUCAUAAUGGCAAGAACAACACCUGAAGGCAUUCGGUGCCCCCGUGUGCCAGGCACUGUACAGGGUGCGUCUCACCC